CGUUCACAUUUUCAUACGAACCAAAGCUUUCAGCGGAAACAGCCGCUUACUGCAAAGAGAAAAAAAUGGCUAGAGGGCUGAAGAAACACUUGAAAAGGCUGAAUGCCCCUAGGCAUUGGAUGCUCGACAAGCUUGGCGUUGUAUUUGCUCCAAAGCCAUAAUCUGGACCCACAAGUCGAGGGAAUGCUUGCCGCUCAUUCUAAUCCUGCGAAACAGAUUGAAGUAUGCUUUGACAUACAGAGAAGUGAUUGCUAUUCUUAUGCAAAGGCAUGUUAUGGUUGAUGGGAAGGUUAGGACAGAUAAGACCUACCCUACAGGUUUUAUGGGUAUGUUGAACUUAACAUUGUUU